GAACGAAGCACUUUGAUCGAUUUCUUCGGAUUGAAAUUUUAGUGACUGAGUGGCGGACGGGUGAGUAACGCGUGGGUAACCUGCCUCACACAGGGGGAUAACAGUUGGAAACGGCUGCUAAUACCGCAUAAGCGCACAAUACCGCAUGGUACAGUGUGAAAAACUCCGGUGGUGUGAGAUGGACCCGCGUCUGAUUAGCUAGUUGGCAGGGCAACGGCCUACCAAGGCGACGAUCAGUAGCCGACCUGAGAGGGUGACCGGCCACAUUGGGACUGAGACACGGCCCAAACUCCUACGGGAGGCAGCAGUGGGGAAUAUUGCACAAUGGGGGAAACCCUGAUGCAGCGACGCCGCGUGAGCGAAGAAGUAUUUCGGUAUGUAAAGCUCUAUCAGCAGGGAAGAAGAAAUGACGGUACCUGACUAAGAAGCACCGGCUAAAUACGUGCCAGCAGCCGCGGUAAUACGUAUGGUGCAAGCGUUAUCCGGAUUUACUGGGUGUAAAGGGAGCGCAGGCGGAAGGCUAAGUCUGAUGUGAAAGCCCGGGGCUCAACCCCGGUACUGCAUUGGAAACUGGUAUCUAGAGUGUCGGAGGGGUAAGUGGAAUUCCUAGUGUAGCGGUGAAAUGCGUAGAUAUUAGGAGGAACACCAGUGGCGAAGGCGGCUUACUGGACGAUAACUGAC
rnacentral:rRNA from 1 species